rnacentral:piRNA from 1 species
GUUUUGUAACUCAACCUGUGAUCUGUCCUC